AACGUAGACAUGCUGAACUGGUCUCUAGCUAGCAUUAUCUCUUGUACAUUAGGAUAGUAUCCAACGAAAGAAGCGCCAGGACCAGAGAGGGUCACAUGCUCGUCGGUUCACAUUCCAGCUGGACAUGAGUAAAGGACCGCCAUCCCAGUAUGGGGAGGAUCCACGUCAUGGAGAGGAGCCAGGCACCUGUGAUCAUGACACUGGCCUUGCCUCUGGUGCGAUACUUCAGGUACUUCAGCGGCUGGCGCACCGACCGAUAUCGAUCCAGGCACAAGAUGAACAGGCUGAAAAUAGAUGCUGUGCUGGCAACAUAGUCCAUGAUUAACCAAAAUUGGCAGACUAUGCGACCGAGUUUCCAUUCAUCCUCCAGCAGCAUAGAGGACCAAGAUGUUCAUGAUCACCGUUAACAGGGACAGGCUGCCCAGGGACACUCCUAAAAGGGCCUUGUUAAAGUGGUGCAAGGAGAUGGUGGAGUUGUACAGCAGUGUCUCAUUGGAGCCUGCCGAGCUGCAAGUACUGUUGCAAGGAUGGUCUGUGGUCACUUUGGAUGCAGACUCCAUCAUGGCAGCCAGUCACCUCCAGGUGUCCUCACAUGAUGAUAUGGUUGUUGAAACUGACUUCUGAGCAGAUUUUGCCAACAACUACAAUAAAGAAGAAAAGGGAGCACCAUUAUGUGACGCAGAAAUGAUUUAUGUUAAAUGCACGGUUCAAAUCUGUUUUAUAAACAAUAAUACUGGCUAACAACAAGAACAACACGAAGACCCGGAGAAUCUGAAUUGUAUUUUUCCAUUUACACCCAUGUGAGAA